rnacentral:tRNA from 1 species
UAGCUCAGUGGUAGAGUGCUUGCCUUGCAUGCAUGAGGCCCUGGGUUCAAUUCCUUA